AGCACCUUCGGGUGUGAAUUAGCGGCGAACGGGUGAGGAACACGUGAGAAAUCUGCCUUCAACACUGGGAUAACUCCGGGAAACCGGGGCUAAUGCCGGAUACGAGACCUUCAGGCAUCUGCGGGUCUGGAAAGUUUUUCGGUUGAAGAUGAUCUCGCGGCCUAUCAGCUUGUUGGUGAGGUAAUGGCUCACCAAGGCGACGACGGGUAGCCGGCCUGAGAGGGCGACCGGCCACACUGGGACUGAGACACGGCCCAGACUCCUACGGGAGGCAGCAGUGGGGAAUAUUGGGCAAUGGAGGAAACUCUGACCCAGCGACGCCGCGUGCGGGAUGAAGGCCUUCGGGUUGUAAACCGCUUUCAGCAGGGAAGAAGCGAAAGUGACGGUACCUGCAGAAGAAGCACCGGCUAACUAUGUGCCAGCAGCCGCGGUAAUACAUAGGGUGCAAGCGUUGUCCGGAAUUAUUGGGCGUAAAGAGCUCGUAGGUGGUUCGUCACGUCGGAUGUGAAACUCUGGGGCUUAACCCCAGACCUGCAUUCGAUACGGGCGAGCUUGAGUAUGGUAGGGGAGUCUGGAAUUCCUGGUGUAGCGGUGGAAUGCGCAGAUAUCAGGAGGAACACCAAUGGCGAAGGCAGGACUCUGGGCCAUUACUGACACUGAGGAGCGAAAGCGUGGGGAGCGAACAGGAUUAGAUACCCUGGUAGUCCACGCCGUAAACGGUGGGCACUAGUUGUGGGGACCUUCCACGGUCUCUGCGACGCGGCUAACGCAUUAAGUGCCCCGCCUGGGGAGUACGAUCGCAAGAUUAAAACUCAAAGGAAUUGAGGGGGCCCCGCACAAGCAGCGGAGCAUGCGGCUUAAUUCGACGCAACGCGAAAGA
rnacentral:rRNA from 1 species